rnacentral:rRNA from 1 species
GGCGAGAGCCUGACCAGCCAAGUAGCGUGCAGGAUGACGGCCCUAUGGGUUGUAAACUGCUUUUAUAAGGGAAUAAAGUGAGUCUCGUGAGACUUUUUGCAUGUACCUUAUGAAUAAGGACCGGCUAAUUCCGUGCCAGCAGCCGCGGUAAUACGGAAGGUCCGGGCGUUAUCCGGAUUUAUUGGGUUUAAAGGGAGCGUAGGCCGGAGAUUAAGCGUGUUGUGAAAUGUAGACGCUCAACGUCUGCACUGCAGCGCGAACUGGUUUCCUUGAGUACGCACAAAGUGGGCGGAAUUCGUGGUGUAGCGGUGAAAUGCUUAGAUAUCACGAAGAACUCCGAUUGCGAAGGCAGCUCACUGGAGCGCAACUGACGCUGAAGCUCGAAAGUGCGGGUAUCGAACAGGAUUAGAUACCCUGGUAGUCCGCACGGUAAACGAUGGGAUGCCCGCUGUUGGUCUGAGUAGGUCAGCGGCCCAAGCGAAAGCAUUAAGCAUCCCACCUGGGGAGUACGCCGGGCAACGGUGAAACUCAAAGGAAUUGACGGGGGGCCCGCACAAGCGGAGGAACAUGUGGUUUAAUUCGAUGAUACGCGAGGAACCCUUACCCGGGGCUUGAAUUUGCAGAGGAAGGAUUUUGGGAGACAAUGACGCCCCUUCGGGGGCCCUCUGUGAAAGGUGCUGCAUGAUUUGUCGUCAGCUCGUGCCGUGAGGUGUCGGCUUAAGUGCCAUAACGAGCGCAACCCCUCUCCUUAGUUGCCAUCAGGUCAAGCUGGGCACUCUGGGGACACUGCCACCGUAAGGUGUGAGGAAGGUGGGGAUGACGUCAAAUCAGCACGGCCCUUACGUCCGGGGCUACACACGUGUUACAAUGGCAGGUACAGAGAGAUGGUCCCUUGCAAAACGGAUCAAAUCCUUAAAGCCUGUCUCAGUUCGGACUGGGGUCUGCAACCUGACCCCACGAAGCUGGAUUCGCUAGUAAUCGCGCAUCAGCCAUGGCGCGGUGAAUACGUUCCCGGGCCUUGUACACACCGCCCGUCAAGCCAUGAAAGCCGGGGGCGCCUAAAGUCCGUGACCGUAAGGAGCGG